UACGGAGGGUGCGAGCGUUGUCCGGAAUCACUGGGCGUAAAGGGCGCGUAGGCGGCUUGAUAAGUAGGGGGUGAAAUCCUGCGGCUUAACCGCAGGGCUGCCUUCUAAACUGUCAGGCUUGAGCACAGUAGAGGCAGGUGGAAUUCCCGGUGUAGCGGUGGAAUGCGUAGAGAUCGGGAAGAACAUCGGUGGCGAAGGCGGCCUGCUGGGCUGUUGCUGACGCUGAGGCGCGACAGCGUGGGGAGCAAACAGG
rnacentral:rRNA from 1 species